UACGGAGGGUGCGAGCGUUGUCCGGAAUCACUGGGCGUAAAGGGCGCGUAGGUGGCGCGAGUAGUCAACGGUGAAAGCCCGGGGCUCAACCCCGGGUCGGCCGUCGAUACUCUCGUGCUUGAGCACUGUAGAGGCAGGUGGAAUUCCGGGUGUAGCGGUGGAAUGCGUAGAGAUCCGGAAGAACACCGGUGGCGAAGGCGGCCUGCUGGGCAGUAGCUGACACUGAGGCGCGAAAGCUAGGGGAGCAAACGGG
rnacentral:rRNA from 1 species